AACGAACGCUGGCGGCAUGCCUAACACAUGCAAGUCGAACGAGACCUUCGGGUCUAGUGGCGCACGGGUGCGUAACGCGUGGGAACCUGCCCUUAGGUUCGGAAUAACUCCCCGAAAGGGGUGCUAAUACCGGUUAAUGUCUUCGGACCAAGGAUUUAUCGCCUUUGGAUGGGCCCGCGUUGGAUUAGCUAGUUGGUAGUGUAAAAGCCUACCAUGGCGUGGUUCCAUAGCUGGUCUGAGAGGAGGAUCAGCCACACUUGAAAUGAGACACGGACCAGAACGCUACGGGAGGGAGGAGUGGAUAAUAUAGGACAAGGAGCGAUAGUCUAAUACAGCAAUGCCGGGGGUGAGAGGAAGGGCGUAGGGUUGCAAAGCUCUCUGAGCCGGGACGAGAAUGACGGUACCGGGUGAAUAAGCUCCGGCUAACUCCGUG
rnacentral:rRNA from 1 species